rnacentral:rRNA from 1 species
UUGAGCUUGAUCCCUGGCUCAGAUUGAACGCUGGCGGCAGGCCUAACACAUGCAAGUCGAGCGGCAGCACGGGUACUUGUACCUGGUGGCGAGCGGCGGACGGGUGAGUAAUGCCUAGGAAUCUGCCUGGUAGUGGGGGAUAACGCUCGGAAACGGACGCUAAUACCGCAUACGUCCUACGGGAGAAAGCAGGGGACCUUCGGGCCUUGCGCUAUCAGAUGAGCCUAGGUCGGAUUAGCUAGUUGGUGAGGUAAUGGCUCACCAAGGCGACGAUCCGUAACUGGUCUGAGAGGAUGAUCAGUCACACUGGAACUGAGACACGGUCCAGACUCCUACGGGAGGCAGCAGUGGGGAAUAUUGGACAAUGGGCGAAAGCCUGAUCCAGCCAUGCCGCGUGUGUGAAGAAGGUCUUCGGAUUGUAAAGCACUUUAAGUUGGGAGGAAGGGCAGUUACCUAAUACGUAUCUGUUUUGACGUUACCGACAGAAUAAGCACCGGC